AUACGUAGGGGGCAAGCGUUAUCCGGAAUUACUGGGUGUAAAGGGAGCGUAGGCGGCAUGGUAAGUUAGAUGUGAAAGCCCGUGGCUCAACCACGGGAUUGCAUUUAAAACUACCAAGCUAGAGUACAGGAGAGGUAAGUGGAAUUCCUAGUGUAGCGGUGGAAUGCGCAGAUAUUAGGAGGAACACCAGAGGCGAAAGCGAUCAUCUGGACUACAACUGACGCUGAGGCACGAAAGCGUGGGGAGC
rnacentral:rRNA from 1 species